AGUUUGUGUCAGUUAUUGAGCUGAACACUCUUUAAGCUGCUGACCUUCAAUGGCAGCGGAAAUGACAGGUGGGAUCACAGCCCUUUGGUUUAAUAAUGAACCACCUGACAUUUGAAGAUCAGAUCAGCCGCCGCAUUACCGUCGGCGGCGCAGAGCAACAGAUACGCAUGCACCGUGAAUUCAUUCACGCGUACGCUUUGGAUCCUGGGGUGUCGCGGCGAUCGACAAUGACUGCGAGGGGGUCGAAGACGAGUGGGAGCCUCGCACGCGGCGUCCUGCUAAUGGAUGCUGCGACGUAUGUCGCCACAAAAAGUCAGUAGGAGUGAUACCUCCUGUCGGCCUUGCAGCAGCUAUGUUGUGUGCGCCGGGUUUGUUUACCGGUGUUACCUGCAGUUUCCGGAAGAAGACUCCGGCGACGAACGGUCCGGGCCGGCCCGUGGUCGGAGGGAGAGUUGUUUGUGUGACGUGGAUACACGCUGGAUCCGGUUAAGGUGAACGGCAAUGAAACCUAACGUACAACGGACUGAACCACGCGGUGACACGAGCUAGCGACACGGGGACAGUGCGACGUCUUCCUCGAUUUCCUAAUCGGCUUUCUAAAGGAGUGAAGUGAUGGAUGAGAGUUGAACUCACAUGGAGACGUGUGUUCCAGGAGAACUUUCACACUGCCGCCAGACUAUGCCUGGAUAUACAAUUUGAACAUACGGUGGUAGGAAAGCCCUUUUUGCCUCGGUCACCCGCCACUUCUGCCAUCCAGAGACUCUUAACCUGCUAUUAACCUGCGAUGCACUGAUCUUCUUCAACAACAGACUCAGGUGAAAGCAACCCGUCUCUCCAACCAGGAGGUCCUCAAUUGUUUCCUGUUGAAACCUUUGGGACAGUUAUUCAUGCCAAACCAUUAACAUAACUUUUAUUAACUUCAAAACGUUAAGAUGAAAAGCUGGGGAUCUAUAGAAGAUAAGGGGGGGAAAAAACGUAUAGAGAAAAUUUGAAAGAGCGGAAGGAACGACAGUGUCAAAGGGCAGAAGAAAAUGCCAGAGAUGAAAAACAUAAGAAUAAGAUCUAGACAAAGAAGAACUCCAUGGGGGGAAACCAGACAGAUGAUUAGCGUCCAACGUUUCUUCUCGUUAAAACCUAAUUUGCAUUUUCCUUUUUCUUCUUUUUUCUCCCGACGGGCUGCACGUGUUUCAUCAAGUGGUCAAAUGCAUCCACACAUCCCUGUGUCUAUAGUCACCACUUCCUCUUUGUCUAUCUCAUUCUAUUCACUUAACGUCAAAUGCAUCACUAAAACAUGAGGAAAAUAUAAUUUCUCCCAGAUAUAGAGAAACUUGGUAAUUGAUGUUCUCUUUCUCUCUGGGUCAUUUCUUCACGCUUCAGUCUUUCUGGCUGAUGGAUGACAGAAGUCAAUUGUUUGGGGAACUGUGGUAAAAAUAUUCUUUUAAUCAAAUAUAUGUCCGUGCACAUACACACACUGACAUGCACAUACAGAUGGAAAAUGGAAAUAUAACAAAAGCAGAAGCGUCCGUGCAGGGGCAAGGAGCUCAUCGAAUGUUGUGAAUAUUAGAAAAUGGUCUGAGUCAUAUACAAAGGGCUUGACAGCAACCAAAUCUCAAAGUAUGUGAGAUUGCGGAUCAUAAAAAAACUCAGAAUGACUCUGUUCUCAACAGUAACUUUGAGAAUGAGGUGAUGCGAUACUGGUCACUGUGGCUUGCAGCCUGUGCAAAUUUAACUUUCAAAUGAGGUGAGAUUCUUAUUGACGUGGCCACAAUGACAUGUUCUUAGACACAUUUUCAUAAUUUUGCCGACACAGCAGGUUGACUAAGACAGUUUUUUUCCCGUGGAGUUGUUCAGUGAGACACGGGUGACGGAGAGGAAGUUGGACAACCGACCGGAUCGGUAUUUGGCUGCACCACUGUGUUCAGUCAAACUCAAAGGGCAAAACUGAAUCGUUCAGAAACAAUAUAUAUUGAGAACAAAAAAAAGUGGAUAUGAUUUCUGCUUGAGCCUUUUUGACAUUGCUGUAACGACUGAGGGCAAUAAAUGAAGAGAGUUGAGAGACAGACCUUGUGUGACACAGUGAAUGAAAGAAAGGGUAAAAAGGGAGGGUGGACCUGACGCUCUAUAUCAUUUCCAGCUAAAUGAUCAAGAUAAGCAACUGAUGUUCAGCAGGUAAAACGUGAACCAUACUCACCACCUUAGUUUAAAACAUUAUCACACUCGGGGUGCGAUCUUUUUCUUAGAUCAUGAGUAACGGGAGUGGUUCCGAAUUCCAAAAUUCUGGUAUGGGAGACGGACGCGCUAUAGUAAGUAGGCUAAAACCCUUGGGCACUAGCGUUACACCUGCACAACAAAAUGAAAACAUGCAAGAAUCAAAUCCCCCUUCCACAUAUGAGUGAUUGGUGACAUUCUACAAAGCCGUGCAUUGAUCAAGGCAAUGGAAAGUUUUGAAAACGACCACGCGAGACUUUUGGGAUUCAUCCGGCGUACCAUGCAAGCGAUAGUUGUUGCGAUUUUUCAGCCUGGACUAAAGUAGUGGACCGACCAAAUAAAAAACUUUCAGCUGCAGUGUAAUCAUAUCUGUCUCCCUUCUUCGUGUUUGGUGGUUGACACAGUCAUCCAUCCAACCGAAGCAAUCUGGAAAAAACGAUAGGACACAUCGGCGGUGGAGUGAAUGAAAUAUGAUAAUGGGUUGAGGCUAGACAACCAGGCAGACUAUUACACGCACACACACACACACACACACACGGAUGCACACAUGUUCACUGAGUGGCACAAUGUUAAAGGAGAAGACAGGGAGAAAGUGAAGGGGACACAGGGAAUAGGCUGACCCACUAAAUGUCAUUUUGUGUCUGAAUGGACUGAGACAUUAAACACGAUUGAUGUCAGUCACCAGACAGACAUUUUGUGUCUGAUCUGAGGCGGCCGCUCUUCACGGCCCUGUUCGCAAAUUAGAUAUGUUUCAAAAUGACCCUGGGAAUGAA